AUUCACCCUUAUGUGAAUUGCAUUCAACCAUGUGUGAAUUGCAUUCACCCACGUGUGAAUUCCAUUCACACACGUUUGUGAAUGCCAUUCACGCGUGGGUUAAAGAAAUUCACCCAAGUGUGAAU
rnacentral:miRNA from 1 species